rnacentral:rRNA from 1 species
UACAGGGGGGGCAAGCGUUGUUCGGAAUUACUGGGCGUAAAGGGCCAGUAGGCGGCCAACUAAGUCACACGUGAAAUCCCCAGGCUUAACCUGGGAACUGCGUGUGAUACUGGAUGGCUUGAAUUCGGGAGAGGGAUGCAGAAUUCCAGGUGUAGCGGUGAAAUGCGUAGAUAUCUGGAGGAAUACCGGUGGCGAAGGCGGCAUCCUGGACCGACAUUGACGCUGAGGUGCGAAAGCGUGGGGAGCAAACAGG